GGGGAUGAAGCCCAGAAGGGACACAAAGCACUUGUGGAGGACAGGUGUGUGCCUUCCUCCACUCCUGGUGGUCCUAUUCCUGCCUCCCACCAAAAAUAAGCAGGGAAUAGCCCGUGAGGCAGUAGCCUUCAUCACCAGCCCAAAGGGGCUCCAGGAGAAUGACUAAGCGAUGACUUCUCAACGACCCCACCCCAGUCCUGCCAACUCUCCAUCAGGGUAACAUCUCUAGGACUUGUUAGCCAGAGCGCUCUGAAGAAAGGGGGAUGCAAAUGGACAGAAACCAAGCUUGACUUUCUGGAUCUGCUGCUGUCUACUGAGAAGGCCCUUUUCCUGCCAUGAGAACAACACGUGUGUGUGUACAAGUUGAGCUCCUCUCCCUAUUCCCUAACCAACUCCCAGGGCCCACGGAAGAACAGAAGAGGCUCAGGGAACACUGUCCCCUAACAUAUGCCUCAGAAAAAUGCCAGCCUGGCUGCUACCCACCUUAGCUGGGAGCCCUUCACUCUGGCUCAGAGGCCCAUGGGUACGAAGUGCCGGUCAUCACGCCCUGUAUAGCUGAGCUUUGGGGUGCCACUGGAGCCCUUGAUGAUCUUCAUCUCCAACCUGAUUUCCCCGAGAAGUCUGUACACCUCCUUCACCCUGCGGGUAGAGGGACAGAGACAAGACAAAGGCUUCCUGGGGGACAUUCUCAUCCAGGAGGCAGCUGGGAGGCAGGAGACUGCACCUGACCUUCGCUUCUGCCCCAGGCCCUCCCUGAAACCACCCAGCCCACCAGCAGUGAGGACGCCAAGCCUGCCACGUGGCUGUUCUACACAGACAAGCCCUGGGUUUCAGAGCUGCCAAGCAGCUCCUCAGGCCUGCGUCAGGGCAACUGGGGAGUGAAACUGGAUACUGGAAGACAGGAGGAAGAAAGAGGAAGAAAAGUCUGGCAGACAAAGAUGUCUCUGUCAGCAUUCCCACCCCCAAGUCAUCUUCACCAUCACCAGAGGGCAGAAAACCAAGGAGUAGGCUCUUGCCCAGGUCUGUCCACAUGGAUUUUAGGCCUUCCAUAACAAGUUGCUGCUAAACAGUCCUAAUAGUCCUAUUACCCACAGUGUGUGGGGAAACCCUAACAAGGAUGCAGGGCUCUUGUUUGAUGCCCACGCUCAGCUCUUGGGGGCCCUGAACAUGUCUUUGGAACUGCUAGUGGGGAAGGUUCCCAGAAAUCCAGCAACCAAACCACAAGCAAUGAAGGCAAGGUUCCCCCUGGGAGCUGUCUUUCAGGACCUAGCAGACAGGACAUUUUAAAGUGCAGACAGAAAUUCCUUUGAAACUUUCACAUGCCAUCUAUAAAGUGCAUUCUCAAUACUGGAUUUAAUUUUAACUAAGUAAAUUUAUGUUAAAAAGAACAAAAACAAUGUGGAUAAAGUGUAAAUAGAUACCUCCGUCUCCAGCCGCGUGAAGCCCCCAAGAACAGGGCGAAGCAGUGCCCUUUGGCAAUAACCUCAGACCUCAGCCUACCUUGGAAAAGUGUGUCCUCCAUCUGUCUACUCUUGACUCUGUUCUCUUCCUCCUUUCCCUCUCAGGGUCCUGGAACUUUCUCACUAUCUAACAUUACAACAACCCUGGCCUCCUUCUCCCUCAGCACUGGGGGUCCCAUUCCCUCAAACCAUCCUUCUCUUUUUCAUGUUCAAAAUUCCUAUUCCCUCAGCACCCAUUUCUUACCUGAAAAAAAAUUAAAAGGCCAGGUGAUAUCCUAACAAUGCUCAAGUGGGAACGGGUGAUUCAUGAGGUGGGCUGGCACGCUCAGAAGCACGUGCAUCCUAAACAAGGAUGCCUUAACCCCUCAGAAUGCCUUAACCCCUCACCCACUGCCAGGCAGGAUGGGGAGAUGCUCUGGGGCAAAUCACCUACCUAGCACCCCCAAACAAACUUCACGGCAAGAAUGGUCUUGUCUCUAACACCCACUUGCCUAGUGCCCUCCGCUGAGCCCUCCCGUCCCUCACUGGGUGGGAGCAGCAGGUACUGGCCAGAAAGAAACGUGGAGGGUAGGGACCACAC